rnacentral:rRNA from 1 species
UCCUGGCUCAGGAUGAACGCUAGCUACAGGCUUAACACAUGCAAGUCGAGGGAAACGAUAUUGGAAGCUUGCCUUCCGAUAGGCGUCGACCGGCGCACGGGUGAGUAACGCGUAUCCAACCUGCCCACCACUUGGGGAUAACCUUGCGAAAGUAAGACUAAUACCCAAUGACGUCUCUAGAAGACAUCUGAAAGAGAUUAAAGAUUUAUCGGUGAUGGAUGGGGAUGCGUCUGAUUAGCUUGUUGGCGGGGUAACGGCCCACCAAGGCGACGAUCGUUAGGGGUUCUGAGAGGAAGGUCCCCCACACUGGAACUGAGACACGGUCCAGACUCCUACGGGAGGCAGCAGUGAGGAAUAUUGGUCAAUGGUCGGAAGACUGAACCAGCCAAGUAGCGUGAAGGAUGACUGCCCUACGGGUUGUAAACUUCUUUUGUUUGGGAAUAAAAGACGCUACGUGUAGCGUUCUGCAUGUACCUUACGAAUAAGCAUCGGCUAAUUCCGUG